GUAGCAGGGUGGGAGGGAGCUACGGCUGGUGGCUGAUUCUCUGGGGUGACUGGGCAUGGGUUAUGGGAAUGGAGGAUGAUGUCCCUCAUCGGUUCCCAGAGAGUUGCCUCACUAGCACCCUGGAGCCUGUGAAUAGUGUUUAAAUCAAUGGUCAAAGUGAAGAGGGCAGCUUAGUCCUCAUUACUCCCCAGGACUAAUUGACCUCUUCUGAAAAGGUACAUUCUUGAUUUGGUGAGACUCUUCCUCAUCCGGAAAGAGGAGAACAAAGGCAUCACCAUCCUGAGAGUGUUUGUGAAGGACUCAUACAGACCGAACACUGCGCAGAGCCUGAUGACCUUUUCCUGCCCUGGAGAUUCUCAGUUUUGUCAUUUUGAUGAAUCUCUAAGUUGUGUUCACUGGAAAGAAGACAGAAAGCUUGGCUCAGCUAUGCUAACUUUCAGAAGGAGAAAAAAGCACCACGUUAGGACAGGGCCUGUUGGGACUCGCCGUGCUGCUGGUUCAUAAAUCUGAAGACAAGGAAACUAGACCUCCGUCAAUUUCCAAUCCCUUUUUCCUAUUGACCCCCACCCACUCUUCCCAGAUCACCAUUGGGAAUUUAGCUCUGAUUUUGAAUGCUGGGAACAGAGCUUGUGAAGACCCUGUAAGCCCUGGGAGGUUGAAAGGUGGCCAUUUGGUUUCUUCUCUGUGGAGAAGGGCAGGGGCUCCCUGCCCAGGCAAGGCCUCCAUUUGAGGACUCCCCUCGCAGGAGCCGAGCCCAUGGCCGGAUGGCUAUGUGGUCACUGAAGACUGGAAUCAGC
rnacentral:lncRNA from 1 species